GUCGCCUUAGAAAAUUUUUCCACCAAAUUCGUAGAACAUGAGCUUUAUGAUUCCACGUUUGUGACUAAAUCAUUCUAAACUCAAAUAGACAUUCUCAUCUCUCUUUCUAUCUUUCGGUGUAUAUCACCGCCGUAUAUACGUAGUUGUCAUUCAUAUACGGUUAAAGAUAUACACGAGAUAGAUGGAAGAGAUGGAAUGUGGUCAUUAUGUUGGUCAUGGGUAUGUGAGCAAUUGGGGCAUGCAGUGCGAAAAUAUGCGUCGCCGUCGUGGUACAAGCAAUGCACCGCCGUCCACGGUGGUUUCUGGGUACACAAAUUAUAUGAACAGGACAGAGUCAGAAAUGAAGAGGCAGUGGCGCGUGGGAAAGGACAACUCUUAUGAGACGGAGAUGAAUGGAUCACUGAGAAAGAUACCAUGGUUGACGAAGAAAAAGUAUGGGACAGUGACCCAUAAUUGCUGAUCCUCAAAGACAGCAACAAAAUCACCAAUUUUGCCUUGUUUUUUAUGUAGAUAGAUCACAAGAAUCUAUCAUAAAACAAUUUUUUGGUUCAUCACAAUAUUCCUACACCAGAAUCAAGUUGGAAGUGAAAACUUAAUUUUUUUGUGUUUUUGCUUUCGUGAUUCAACUUCAAAGUCUAUCAUAUCAGUUUUGUGUC